rnacentral:rRNA from 1 species
GUUGUAUGGUUAAGUGACUAAGCGUACACGGUGGAUGCCUUGGCAGUCAGAGGCGAUGAAAGACGUAGUAACUUGCGAUAAGCCCAGAUUAGGUAGUAACAACCAUUUGAGUCUGGGAUUUCUGAAUGGGGAAACCCACGUGCAUAAGCACGUAUCCUUACCUGAAUACAUAGGGUAAGGAGGCGAACCGGGGGAACUGAAACAUCUAAGUACCCCGAGGAAAAGAAAUCAACCGAGAUUCCGAAAGUAGCGGCGAGCGAAAUUGGACUAGCCCUUAAGCUUUACACGCGUUAGACGAACGGUCUGGAAAGUCCGACGAUACAGGGUGAUAGUCCCGUAGUUGACGACGUGUGUUCAGUGAAAUCGAGUAGGGCGGGACACGUGAUAUCCUGUCUGAAUAUGGGGGGACCAUCCUCCAAGGCUAAAUACUACUGACUGACCGAUAGUGAACCAGUACCGUGAGGGAAAGGCGAAAAGAACCCCUGUGAGGGGAGUGAAAUAGAACCUGAAACCGUGUACGUACAAGCAGUAGGAGCAGGCUUUGUCCUGUGACUGCGUACCUUUUGUAUAAUGGGUCAGCGACUUAUAUUCAGUGGCAAGGUUAACCAUCUAGGGGAGCCGUAGGGAAACCGAGUCUUAACUGGGCGUUCAGUCUCUGGAUAUAGACCCGAAACCAGGUGAUCUAGCCAUGGGCAGGUUGAAGGUUGAGUAACAUCAACUGGAGGACCGAACCGACUAAUGUUGAAAAAUUAGCGGAUGACUUGUGGCUAGGGGUGAAAGGCCAAUCAAACCUGGAGAUAGCUGGUUCUCCCCGAAAGCUAUUUAGGUAGCGCCUCGGACGAAUACUACUGGGGGUAGAGCACUGUUAAGGCUAGGGGGUCAUCCCGACUUACCAACCCUUUGCAAACUCCGAAUACCAGUAAGUACUAUCCGGGAGACACACGGCGGGUGCUAACGUCCGUCGUGGAGAGGGAAACAACCCAGACCGCCAGCUAAGGUCCCAAAUUACUACUAAGUGGGAAACGAUGUGGGAAGGCUCAGACAGCCAGGAUGUUGGCUUAGAAGCAGCCAUCAUUUAAAGAAAGCGUAAUAGCUCACUGGUCGAGUCGGCCUGCGCGGAAGAUGUAACGGGGCUAAGUAGUAAACCGAAGCUGCGGCAAUAUACUUUUGUAUAUUGGGUAGGGGAGCGUUCUGUAAGCGGUUGAAGGUGUGUGGUAACGCAUGCUGGACGUAUCAGAAGUGCGAAUGCUGACAUGAGUAACGAUAAAGGGGGUGAAAAACCUCCUCGCCGGAAGACCAAGGGUUCCUGUCCAACGUUAAUCGGGGCAGGGUAAGUCGACCCCUAAGGCGAGGCCGAAAGGCGUAGUCGAUGGGAAACGGGUUAAUAUUCCCGUACUUCUUACAAUUGCGAUGGGGGGACGGAGAAGGCUAGGUGGGCCUGGCGACGGUUGUCCAGGUUCAAGUGCGUAGGCUUUUUAAUGCUGAGAGCUGAUGACGAAGCCACUUUUAGUGGUGAAGUCAUUGAUGCCAUGCUUCCAGGAAAAGCCUCUAAGCUUCAGAUUGUAAGGAAUCGUACCCCAAACCGACACAGGUGGUCGGGUAGAGAAUACCAAGGCGCUUGAGAGAACUCGGGUGAAGGAACUAGGCAAAAUGGUACCGUAACUUCGGGAGAAGGUACGCUCUUGAUGGUGAAGUCCCUCGCGGAUGGAGCUGACGAGAGUCGCAGAUACCAGGUGGCUGCAACUGUUUAUUAAAAACACAGCACUGUGCAAAAUCGUAAGAUGACGUAUACGGUGUGACGCCUGCCCGGUGCCGGAAGGUUAAUUGAUGGGGUUAGACUUCGGUCGAAGCUCUUGAUCGAAGCCCCGGUAAACGGCGGCCGUAACUAUAACGGUCCUAAGGUAGCGAAAUUCCUUGUCGGGUAAGUUCCGACCUGCACGAAUGGCGUAAUGAUGGCCACGCUGUCUCCACCCGAGACUCAGUGAAAUUGAAAUCGCUGUGAAGAUGCAGUGUACCCGCGGCUAGACGGAAAGACCCCGUGAACCUUUACUACAGCUUGGCACUGAACAUUGACCCUACAUGUGUAGGAUAGGUGGGAGGCUUUGAAGCACGUACGCCAGUAUGUGUGGAGCCGUCCUUGAAAUACCACCCUUGUAGUGUUGAUGUUCUAACGUCGACCCCUUAUCGGGGUUGCGGACAGUGCCUGGUGGGUAGUUUGACUGGGGCGGUCUCCUCCCAAAGAGUAACGGAGGAGCACGAAGGUGGGCUAAUCACGGUUGGACAUCGUGAGGUUAGUGCAAUGGCAUAAGCCCGCUUGACUGCGAGAAUGACAAUUCGAGCAGGUGCGAAAGCAGGUCAUAGUGAUCCGGUGGUUCUGAAUGGAAGGGCCAUCGCUCAACGGAUAAAAGGUACUCCGGGGAUAACAGGCUGAUACCGCCCAAGAGUUCAUAUCGACGGCGGUGUUUGGCACCUCGAUGUCGGCUCAUCACAUCCUGGGGCUGAAGUCGGUCCCAAGGGUAUGGCUGUUCGCCAUUUAAAGUGGUACGCGAGCUGGGUUUAGAACGUCGUGAGACAGUUCGGUCCCUAUCUGCCGUGGGCGUUGGAAGAUUGAAGGGGGCUGCUCCUAGUACGAGAGGACCGGAGUGGACGAACCUCUGGUGUUCGGGUUGUGUCGCCAGACGCAUUGCCCGGUAGCUAAGUUCGGAAUCGAUAACCGCUGAAAGCAUCUAAGCGGGAAGCGAGCCCUGAGAUGAGUCUUCCCUGAUACUUUAAGUAUCCUAAAGGGUUGUCGGAGACUACGACGUUGAUAGGUCAGGUGUGUAAGUGCUGUGAGGCAUUGAGCUAACUGAUACUAAUUGCCCGUGAGGCUUAACCAUACAACACCCAAGGGGUUU